GUGGUGGGCCGAGCCCGCGUAUCUGCUUUAUUUUUUUAAAUGACCUGUCCCCGUCGAUGGAGGAGCUGAAUUUUUGAUAUUAUCAACGUCGUUUUUUUCUUAAAACAUUUUCGUUUGUUGGCACAUCCAAUUCUUGCACAUUUUUUCUGUAGCUUAGUUCAAAGUUAGCAACUUUAUCAGGCAAUCGUCUCAACUACCUAACUCUCCAACCAACCAGAACUCGUGUAUCAUCUUGUUAGCUAAUCGAAUGGUUCGUAACAGGAUCAGCUGAUAGUAAAAACAACCUAAGUGACCAUGCGUCAAGUAGCUAGCCUAGUAAGCCUACAAGUCUCGGCACCACAAUGGUAGCUCGGUGAGCUUUAAUUAAAUACUUGCUUUCCGUGUCACUGUCUGUCUUUAAUUUACCUUAUUUUCUUCAUUUUUUAAAUCAGCGGCAGUAAUUAAAACUGUUGGGCACUCACUGGCCUGGAGAUUUAGCUGGCUGAGCUCAGGAUAGCCAAAAAACACAAAGAAAUAUGAGAACAUUAUUGAGACGUUUUUAUACAACGAAUACCAUAAUAUGUAGCAUGUUGAAAGUCUGGCUGGUGAAGGGACCCUGAGCUGACUGGAGAUGGUAGACUGAGCUGGCUGGUGAUGGGAGACUGAGCUGACUGGAGAUAGUAGACUGAGCUGGCUGGUGAAGGGACCCUGAGCUGACUUGAGAUGGUAGACUGAGCUGGCUGGUGAUGGGACCCUGAGCUGACUGGAGAUAGUAGACUGAGCUGGCUGGUGAAGGGACCCUGAGCUGACUUGAGAUGGUAGACUGAGCUGGCUGGUGAAGGGACCCUGAGCUGACUUGAGAUGGUAGACUGAGCUGGCUGGUGAUGGGAGACUGAGCUGUGUCAACAUAAUCAAACGAGCGAUAGGUCUCGGUCUGCUCUAAAAGUUAUUUCCCGACCUUUAACCUUCGUCAUUGUCUUUCUUGCUCUGUCCUUAAACAUCUAAAGAUUAUGUUUUUUAAUCUCUUCACUCUAUAG